rnacentral:tRNA from 1 species
GGGAGGGUGGUCUAGCUUGGUAUGAUACUUGGCUGGGGGCCAAGUGGCCGGGGGUUCGAGUAACAAGAAGGAUCUUCUUGAUAGAAUAAAUCCCUCCCCUCCCA